UGCAAACUUCAUUAGAGAUUUGAAUUGAGAUCAGAUUUGAAAUAAGGGAAAGGGGGAUGUGAAAAAAAAAAUUGGGGGUCAAUUUUUUUCAUUUCAGAUUUCAUAAAUAAAAAGAAAAUUUCUUCAAACAUUUUUUUGAGAGGAUUAAUAUUCAACAGCAUAGUGAAUUGCUCAAAGGCAAAAUUUUUUGUUUAAGUUCAUUAGACCACAUUCAUUCUGUGUCAGAAACCUAUGCUGUGUCAACUAUUUAAUCACAAUCCAAAUUUAGAGCUGAAUCCAGCUUGAAUGUUGUGUCCAUACUUGCCCCAACCGUUCAGGGUUCAACCUCUGCGGUCGUAUAAUGCUGCGCCCUUCGAAGCAACUGGUUGUGUUU
rnacentral:lncRNA from 1 species